rnacentral:rRNA from 1 species
GAUGAACGCUGGCGGCGUGCCUAAUACAUGCAAGUCGAGCGAACUUUUGGGAGCUUGCGCUCAAUUGUUAGCGGCUGACGGGUGAGUAACAAGUGGCUAACCUGCUUGUUAGACUGGGGUAAUUACGGCAAACCAGAGCUAAUACCGGCUAACAAUGACGCCCACACGGCCUUCAAUUAAAAGGUGGCUCUUACCAACCACUUACCGCAGGACCCGCGGCGCAUUAGCUAGUUGGUGAGGUAACGGCUCACCAAGGCGACGAUUCGUAGCCGAGCUGGGCGGGAUGACGACCAAAACGGGAAUGAGAAAAGGGCCAGAAUCCUACGGGGGGGAGCAAGAGGGGAUCAUCCGAAAUGGGGGGAAGUCUGAAGGAGGAACGCCGGGGGGGCGGAGGAGGCCUUCGGGUUGUAAAGCUCUGUUGUUAGGGAAGAAAAAGUAUCGUGCGAAUAGGGCGGUACCUUGACGGUACCUAACCAGAAAGCCACGGCUAACUACGUG